rnacentral:tRNA from 1 species
AGGGGCGUAGUACAGCGGUUAGUGCGCUUGACUCUGACUCAUGAAACGGUGGUUCGAAUCCAUCCGCCCCUGCCA